CCUACGGGCGGCAGCAGUGGGGAAUAUUGCACAAUGGGCGCAAGCCUGAUGCAGCCAUGCCGCGUGUGUGAAGAAGGCCUUCAGGUUGUAAAGCACUUUCAGCGGGGAGGAAGGCGGUGAGGUUAAUAACCUCAUCGAUUGACGUUACCCGCAGAAGAAGCACCGGCUAACUCCGUGCCAGCAGCCGCGGUAAUACGGAGGGUGCAAGCGUUAAUCGGAAUUACUGGGCGUAAAGCGCACGCAGGCGGUCUGUCAAGUCGGAUGUGAAAUCCCCGGGCUCAACCUGGGAACUGCAUUCGAAACUGGCAGGCUAGAGUCUUGUAGAGGGGGGUAGAAUUCCAGGUGUAGCGGUGAAAUGCGUAGAGAUCUGGAGGAAUACCGGUGGCGAAGGCGGCCCCCUGGACAAAGACUGACGCUCAGGUGCGAAAGCGUGGGGAGCAAACAGGAUUAGAUACCCUAGUAGUC
rnacentral:rRNA from 1 species